GACGAACCGUGCAAACGUUGUUCGGAAUCACUGGGCUUAAAGGGCGCGUAGGCGGCUCAUCAAGUCGGGGGUGAAAUCUUUCGGCUCAACCGGAAAAGUGCCUUCGAUACUGAUGAGCUAGAGCGAGGUAGGGGCAGAUGGAACUUCCGGUGGAGCGGUGAAAUGUGUUGAUAUCGGAAGGAACGCCGGUGGCGAAAGCGAUCUGCUGGACUGUAACUGACACUGAGACACGAAAGCGUGGGGAUCAAACAGG
rnacentral:rRNA from 1 species